CUCCUAUUUUUAUUGUACUGAUGGCGAGUUAUUUUCAUGUCCUACUCAUCUAUAUCGCAACCUACUUUUAUAUAUAUUUUUUUUUUUUUUAGAAAAAAAUAUGUGUAAAAGAAAAAGCAAUUUAAUACAAUCUGUCUCAGGCGUUGUGAUUUUUUUAUGACGUUUAAAUAGUAUUGACACUAAUGUCGCGAAGGAAAAACGUAAAAUUGUAAUAUAUUUUAUAUUUUUUAAAUAGGCUUUUCUUAUUAUAAGAUGAGCUUGUUUAUACAUAUAGGUUUAUAUACUUUUUCAUGAAGUAUAUAUAUCUAAAUGUCCUGUACUAUAUAUCACUGAGAUAUAACAGUUGUAUAUUAAAAAAUUGGGUUAUAUGUAUAAAGCAUAUAAUUAAAAUAUUAAGAGUUAUGAAGAAUGCAUACAAUAAUAUAUACAUAUAUAUACAAUAUAUGUGUAUAUAUUAUUGUUUCAUAAUAUCUGAACAACUUUUGUUAGGAAGUGUACAUAUAGAUCUAGCUAGUUGUACCUCACCUCCUCGCUUCUAGAGGGGAAUUUGAAAGACAGAUAGGCCUUAUACAAUAAUGUUAUAUUUAAUUAUGACAUUAGCUUUUUAGCACGUAUAAGCUCUUACAUAGGAUAUUUCGAUAUGGGCGAUACUUAGACAAACUGGUCGUUUUUGUUUGGCAAACCACACUUACGUCAGUUCUUGUGACCCUGUAUCGAUCUUGUCACUAUGAAUAGAUAUAUCGUUUUUUUGUGGCUAUAUAUAUAUAUAUAUAUAUAUGUAUGUAUAUAUGUAUGUCAACAUAAGAUGUAUCUAUUGAGAGGGACUUUAAGAAAACAUACAGUCAGAGGAUAAAAA